AAAUAUGCGUGAUAAUUUCAAUUAACUUCAAAAUCAUAUAAAAGACAUAACUCAGGAGAUAUCAACAGUUUUGUUUGCAUUUUUUACACUCCAGUUUGUGAAUAUGAAACUAUUUAUUCUGAUGGCUUUAUGCCUUAUUUCUCUCGCUGUGCCUUCGAUGGCAAGACCACAAGUAACUCGAUACCUGCCAAUAUAUCCAGGACGUAUUGCUGGUUAAGAACAAAAAAUCAUCGUAAAUAAAUCGAAUUUUGAAAUUUUAAAA